AACGAACGCUGGCGGCAGGCCUAACACAUGCAAGUCGAACGCCCCGCAAGGGGAGUGGCGCACGGGUGAGUAACGCGUGGGAAUGUACCUUUUAGUUUGGGAUAACAGCGGGAAACUGCUGCUAAUACCGAAUACGCCCUUAGGGGGAAAGAUUUAUCGCUAAAAGAUCAGCCCGCGUCAGAUUAGCUAGUUGGUGGGGUAAUGGCCUACCAAGGCUCCGAUCUGUAGCUGUUCUGAGAGGAAGAUCAGCCACACUGGAACUGAGACACGGUCCAGACUCCUGCGGGAGGCAGCAGUGGGGAAUAUUGGACAAUGGGGGAAACCCUGAUCCAGCCAUGCCGCGUGAGUGAUGAAGGCCUUAGGGUUGUAAAGCUCUUUUAGCAGGGAAGAUGAUGACGGUACCUGCAGAAUAAGCACCGGCUAACUUCGUGCCAGCCGCCGCAGUAA
rnacentral:rRNA from 1 species